GGUUCGGAAUAACUCAGGGAAACUUGAGCUAAUACCGGAUACGCCCUUUUGGGGAAAGGUUUACUGCCGAAGGAUCGGCCCGCGUCUGAUUAGCUUGUUGGUGGGGUAACGGCCUACCAAGGCGACGAUCAGUAGCUGGUCUGAGAGGAUGAUCAGCCACACUGGGACUGAGACACGGCCCAGACUCCUACGGGAGGCAGCAGUGGGGAAUAUUGGACAAUGGGCGCAAGCCUGAUCCAGCCAUGCCGCGUGAGUGAUGAAGGCCUUAGGGUUGUAAAGCUCUUUUGUCCGGGACGAUAAUGACGGUACCGGAAGAAUAAGCCCCGGCUAACUUCGUGCCAGCAGCCGCGGUAAUACGAAGGGGGCUAGCGUUGCUCGGAAUCACUGGGCGUAAAGGGCGCGUAGGCGGCCGAUUAAGUCGGGGGUGAAAGCCUGUGGCUCAACCACAGAAUUGCCUUCGAUACUGGUUGGCUUGAGACCGGAAGAGGACAGCGGAACUGCGAGUGUAGAGGUGAAAUUCGUAGAUAUUCGCAAGAACACCAGUGGCGAAGGCGGCUGUCUGGUCCGGUUCUGACGCUGAGGCGCGAAAGCGUGGGGGAGCAAACAGGAUUAGAUACCCCUGGGUAGUCCACGCCCGUAAAACNAUGAAUGCCAGCCCGUUUGGCCUGCUUUGCAGGUCAGUGGCGCCCG
rnacentral:rRNA from 2 species